rnacentral:tRNA from 1 species
GUCUCUGUAGCGCAAUGGAUAGCGCAUUGGAUUUCUUAUCCAAAGAUCGUGAGUUCGAAUUCUACCUGGGAUG